rnacentral:rRNA from 1 species
UACGUAGGUGGCGAGCGUUGUCCGGAUUUAUUGGGUUUAAAGGGUGCGUAGGCGGCUUGUUAAGUCAGUGGUUAAAUCGUGUGGCUCAACCAUACUUCGCCAUUGAUACUGACAGGCUAGAAUAUGUCCGAGGAUGCUGGAAUGAGUGGUGUAGCGGUGAAAUGCAUAGAUAUCACUCAGAACACCGAUUGCGAAGGCAGGCAUCUGGGGCGUGAUUGACGCUGAGGCACGAAAGUGUGGGGAGCAAACAGG